GGGGAAAUGGUGUAGUGGUAACACCCUAGACUCCAAACCUAGUAACGGGGGUUCGAUUCCCUCUUUCCUCG
rnacentral:tRNA from 1 species